CGGACGGGUGAGUAAUGUCUGGGAAACUGCCUGAUGAGGGGGAGUAACUACUGGAAACGGUAGCUAAUACCGCAUAACGUCGCAAGACCAAAGAGGGGGACCUUCGGGCCUCUUGCCAUCGGAUGUGCCCAGAUGGGAUUGGCUAGUAGGUGGGGUAACGGCUCACCUAGGCGACGAUCCCUAGCUGGUCUGAGAGGAUGCCAGCCACACUGGAACUGAGACACGGUCCAG
rnacentral:rRNA from 1 species